UACAGAGGGGGCAAGCGUUAUUCGGAAUUAUUGGGCGUAAAGGGCGCGUAGGCGGCUUUGCAAGUGGCGGGUGAAAAUCCCUCGGCUUAACCGAGGAACUGCCUGUCAAACUGCAUGGCUUGAGACCGGGAGAGGUGAGUGGAAUUCCCAGUGUAGCGGUGAAAUGCGUAGAUAUCUGGAGGAAUACCGGUGGCGAAGGCGGCAUCCUGGACCGGCAUUGACGCUGAGGAGCGAAAGCUAGGGGAGCAAACGGG
rnacentral:rRNA from 1 species